CAGUACAAUAUAACAUUAAACAUAGUAUAAUUAAAAAUUAAUUCAUUACAGUAUAACACCAAACCUUAUAUAGCAUUAUUAUUGUAUAGUGCUAAUGCAAUAAAAUAUAAUACAAUAGAUCUAUAUUAAAAUAAUAUAAUACAAUCUAAAAUAAUAUAGUUUCUCAAAUGCUAUCUAUUAGCACAAAUACUUAAAAUGCACACUUCUAUUUCGGCUAGGCCGAACUGGAGCACAUCGUCCAAGUCCUGCCUAUUUACCUUCGCGGCAAUUGUGGAUUUAUGGUAUCAAUUAUAUUUGUUUGUACAUGGGUACAUCUAACGUCCCCCUUCUCGUUGUCUAUUUGGGCUUGGAACUUUUGUUGCUGGAUUCUUGGCUGUGUCCAUGACUAAUGAUUGUUGGACCUUUUGGGCUUUCCCAUUGGGUUGCAUGGAUGUCCUAAAUUCUUGUUAAGGCCCCUAACCUCACAAUUAUUUAUACAGUAGCGCUGUGGUAGUGGUACCAUCUAUAGUUUUGACACUUACUUAGAAUCCCAUUUUACAAAUAAAUCUCAUUAAAAAGUAAAAAAAAAAAUUAUUAAAAACGUAAUUUAAUUCCAUAAACAACCCUUCCCAUUUCUUAAUAAGAAUUUCUACUUUUAUUUCCCGAUCAACCCCGUAAUCACUCAAUUACAGUCAGUCUUGAAUAUCCUUAAUAAUCAUCUUGCAUAAGACAUUAUAUACAAAAUUUUUAAUGAAAAAUUAUUUAGUGGGGUUUCAUGAGGAAGUGAAAUUCUUUAUACUUUCUCCUAAACUAGGUGGAAGAGCUUCUCAAUGGAAUCCAUUGUCCUCUUGACUUGACUUGGUGGGGAGUAGUUUUCUCAAUGAUAUCAACUUAAUUUCUUAACAUUACUAUGAUGUAAAAAAGUCAAUUAUUAAUAAAUAUAUAAUAGUUAUUAUUAAUCGGUGAUACAUCAUUUGGAAUGUAAAUUUUAUAUAUGUAAACAUAUAACUGCUCAUAUUAUCAUUACAAAUUUUACAUAAAUAAGAGCAUCUCCAAAAGAUUCUAUAAAUUUUACUCUUCAAAUAUUUAUUUGUUUACUUAUGUGGUAAAUAGAAGAGUGAAAAGAUAUAUUAUUUUCUAAAAGACUCUUCAAAUAGAAAUGAAUUAAUAUUAUUUUAAUCAAAUAACUAUUUUUUUAAAGGAAAAGUCAAUAGUAAUUAAAGCACCACACUCUCUCUCUCUUUCUCCAACAAAAAGUAAUAAAAUACAAAUUGAAAAGGGAGAAAGUAACUCUCCAAAUUUGAAGAGAGAUGAUUAUUUCUUAUUUAAAAAAUCUUAAUUGGAGUAUCUUUUGGAGCCUUAAAUGCUGAUGUGGCUCUUCAAAUAAGUAAUAAAACCUUAUUUGAAGAGUUUUUUGAUGAUGCUCUAAGAGUAGUAAUUUGUUUGUUUGUCUUGUAUAAUAAAAAGUGUAUAUAUCCUAAGAUACAGGUCAGGAAACACAAUGUCACUCGCCCCAAAUGCUCUCACAUUUGUAGAAUAGCUAUUUGACUCCCCAUAUUUCAAUAUGGGGACUCAAUUCCUCUCUCAAUUAAAAAAUAAUUGAGUGGAGAUAAUCUUCUCUUUUAUAAAAUGUGAGUAGAAUAGUUAUCUUUCAAAUAUUAGUAAGGUUAAAAAAUUUGAACAAUUUUUUAUAAGAUUUAAAGUAAAUUAGUUCUCGUAGUUGUUUGAUUGUAAAUAGAUAUAAAUUAAUCUGAGUAAUUAUCUGAUUAUAAAUAUAUGUAAACUAUUGCUUCAUAAGAUUUAAUGUAAAUUACUUAAAUAGUUUUCGGAUUGUAAAUAUAUAUAAACUAAUAAUUCAUAAGAUUUAAUGUAAAUCAACCCUAAUAGUUAUCUUAUUAUAAAUAUAUAUAAACUAAUUACAAUAGUUAUCUGAUUAUAAAUAUUAAAAAUACCAAAUUCAAUAAUUAUUUCAUUAUAUAGUUGCCUGAUAUAAUACAAAGUGAUUUUCGAAUGUGAUACCAAUUGUCUAUUGUAAUAAGUGAGAAAAAGAAAACGUCAGAAAACACGUCAAUAAAGGGUAGAACGAGACAGGCAUGUAAGUGUGGAAAAAAAAUAAAUUAAAAUGAUUAAAAUCACGUGUGCUCGAGCUCAAAUGAACCUGCAAGAGCAUCAUCACUUUAUUGGUAGGAAAUGACAAGUCGGUCAGGCCUACGGGCCUUUUUUGUUGUAAAAUCCUAUCAGCAGUCGACACACGUCUAACCUAUACUGACAUUGUACAGUUGCAGCAAGUUUGAACAGAAAAGCAAACCAAAACGACAAAAUUUCCAAUAACAAAAAACAAAAAUUGAGCUUAGCUUUGAUUUAUGAACGAAGCCAGCCCCUAUUUCCGUAAUCGAUACGUGUUCGAGCUCUAUCAGUCAGAGAAGUAACAAAAUAAACCAAAAAGUAUUUUAACAUUGACUACCAGCUUUUACGAUCAGAAAUUGAAGCCAGCGACAGUGGGAGUGAAAGUGAAAUAUCGAGGAGGGAAUGACUGUAAAUGAAUAGUGACUAUUUUGUUGAGACGGGAAGUGAAAGGAAUUGUGUAUUUUGAUUAGACAAAUACAUAAUUGGUCAUAACCUUUGGCUUCUCUUAAUUAAGUAAACGAAUUUGAUUAGGUGUGCACCGUCGCGCAUGUUAUUGUGCGCGACGGCAUACACUUGAUCGGACUUCCAUUAGUAAAUGUUUUUUUUUUUUUUGAAGUUAAAAGACGUUUUUAUAAAAAAAAAAUCAUGAAUAAUAUCUACUUUGAAGUUAAUUUAUUACAUCUUAAAGAUGACUUUUAAUUAAGUGUUUUAUUUCACUAUUUUUUCUUUUUAGAACAAGAUGGAUUUGAAGCAUGGGAUAUAAAUCAGAUAAUUAAUAGAAAGAAAAUAAUGAAUUGUGUGCUAUUCUCAAAGUUUGAAUUAAU
rnacentral:lncRNA from 1 species